GACGAACGCUGGCGGCGUGCUUAACACAUGCAAGUCGAACGGGAUGAUUUAGAAGCUUGCUUUUAGAGAAUCUAGUGGCAAACGGGUGAGUAACACGUAGGCAACCUGCCGACAGGAUGGGGACAACAUUCCGAAAGGAAUGCUAAUACCGAAUGAAGCGCAGGAGAGGCAUCUCUCCUGCGUGAAAGAUGGCCUCUAUUUAUAAGCUAUCACCUGUCGAUGGGCCUGCGUCUGAUUAGCUGGUUGGUGAGGUAACGGCUCACCAAGGCGACGAUCAGUAGCCGGUCUGAGAGGAUGAACGGCCACAUUGGGACUGAGACACGGCCCAGACUCCUACGGGAGGCAGCAGUGGGGAAUCUUCCGCAAUAGGCGCAAGCCUGACGGAGCAACGCCGCGUGAGUGAAGAAGGUCUUCGGAUCGUAAAGCUCUGUUGAUGGGGACGAACGUGCGAAGGGUGAAUAAACCUUUGUAAUGACGGUACCUGUCGAGGAAGCCACGGCUAACUACGUG
rnacentral:rRNA from 1 species